rnacentral:rRNA from 1 species
GAUGAACGCUAGCGGGAGGCUUAACACAUGCAAGUCGAGGGGCAGCAUAGGGUAGCAAUACUCUGAUGGCGACCGGCAAACGGGUGAGUAACGCGUAUGCAACCUACCCUGUACAGGGGGAUAACCCGGAGAAAUUCGGACUAAUAUCCCGUAAUAAUAUCCGGAGGCAUCUUUGGAUAUUUAAAGUUCCGACGGUACGGGAUGGGCAUGCGUAACAUUAGCUGGUUGGUAAGGUAACGGCUUACCAAGGCUAUGAUGUUUAGGGGUCCCUGAGAGGGUGGUCCCCCACACUGGUACUGAGACACGGACCAGACUCCUACGGGAGGCAGCAGUGAGGAAUAUUGGUCAAUGGGCGCAAGCCUGAACCAGCCAUCCCGCGUGCAGGAGACGGCCCUAUGGGUUGUAAACUGCUUUUCCAGGGAGAGAAACUUACGCACGUGUUGCGUGACUGACGGUACCCUGGGAAUAAGCAUCGGUAACUCCGUG